GUGCAGAAAUUAAUCUUGAGUCUGUGAAUGCUCAAGUUCUGCGUGCUUGACCGCGAUCACACCAAUGCCCAUUCGGUUUGAACUCAGCAAAGGUUAAUUCCCGGAAACGCUGGAUAGUCACCAGUGUGCAGUCAUGAAGAGUAUUGGGGCGGGGGACAGGCUGCUGAAGCAGCGGGAGAAUCUUCACGGCCUUCGCUGGCUUCUGAAAGAGCAACAUUUCCGAUGCCCUUUCUGAGGCAGCGUGGGGCAGCCAACUCAGAUUCACCAAACGCAACAAUGUGAGGCUGGACAGCUCAGCGAGCCGAGAGAACAGCAGAAGUGAUACCCGCUCUAAUGUGACAAGGAACCCAGAAAAGGCUGUUAUCUUUGUGUUGCGUCUGCCUUCCAAGCAUCAAAUUGUGGCUUCCGUACAACAACUAAAACUCAUAUUGUGUUUUUUUUUUUUUUUUUUUUGCCUAUUGCAAAACCAACUUAAUCGUGCUUCAUUUUGUUUUGGUGCGUAACGUUAAGAAUUUGGCAUUUGCAUGACUAAAUAAGGUUUGUGUGGAAAAUACAUAAGAUUGGGAUGAAAUAAAAGCAGUUUAGCAGAUUUGUCAAGCAUAACAUAAGAUGCACAUGCACACCAGUAAAGGUCUGAUGUAAUGCGUUUUUGAGAGCAUUUUUUGGAAAUUUUAUUGUUUGUAGGGAAUGAUCAUCCUUCUUAGGGCUCUCUACCCACUACCCAGACCCAUAUUCCAUAUGAACAAAGUAAAAUGCUCAGCCUUAAAAUGUGUUAUUUUGUCACUGACGGUGUUUUUAGGAGUCCUCAGAAGAUUAAAAAAGUACUCUUAUCAGUGUAAAACGCACAUGGUCAAAGUGUAAUACCACGACUCCACCCGUGGCAUGAGUCAUCAGCCGCAUGCCACUCUAUCUGAGUGAAGACAACCAGAGAAUCGAAGCUGCACCAUAAGCAUUAUGUUCAUCUCUUGCCCACCGUGUGAACCCCGCCCACUCACUUUCUGCACCGAGGCCCUGGUGGUGUUUGCCAAUGGAAGGACGGUUGGAACAAUGGUUUCCCGUGUUGCAGGGCAUUGUUUCAGUUAUUGGAAGGAAUGCUUAUUGUAUGCGUGCAUUAGUAGCUGUAAAAGAUGGAAAUUGCAACAGAAAUGAGUCAUAUCUGUAGCUCCAGUUAGCUGCUGGCAUGGUAUCAAUCAAAUAGCCAGGCUGACUUGAAAGACUCAAAACAAAUCAACACACAAACAUCUCCAACACAUUGUUGAGGGGCAGAGCAGGCAUGUACCAUAGAGGGAUUUUGAAAUGAAAGCAGUCAUCACAAGGCUUGCGAAUGCAGGGGCUUUAAGUUUAUUGGUCAACUAUGAAGAAUGAGAAGCAACAGAUUUAACCAAGCAAGCGACAUGAGAAUGGCAACAGGACAGGAAUUAGAUGCAUUUGCAUGCAUUUAAAAUAAUUUUGUUUUUAUUUAUGUCAAGCAUCUGAAUGUAGAGACAUUUAAAUUCUCUGUCGGUGUAUAUGGAGGGGGAGGGGGGGCAGGGAAGGUAUUCAGUUUCACCACAAUGUGUACUAUUCUUUGUGUUCAGCAACUUAAGCCAUUUCCCCCCCAUUAGGACACAUUUGAAAAUAGCGUGUUUACAGUUAUACCAUUGAGACAGCUGUAAAUUGUGCAGUUUCUGAAACGGUAAGCUGAAUAUGGAAUUUAACAGCAUAUAUUUGUUCAAUAGAUCAAAGCCGUGGACUUUCCCCCCUUACUUUUAUGAAUUAGAUUAAAUGUGAACAGAAAAGAUUAACUUGUUUUUCUUGGCUGUGUACUCAUUUGACCUUUUUUGAUUGACAUAUUUCAGAUGAGCCAUUUGUCAUAUCCCAGCUGGCAGUCAAUUUCAGAUUGUUUCAGAAUGAUGGAAGUUCCCAGUGCAGCUGUCUGUGUUUUUAAAAAAUAUACUUUUAUAGAAGACCCCAUAUGUGACCGUGUGUUCACAGGAUGAACACGAGAGAGGGUAACUGCAUCUCUCAAUG